rnacentral:lncRNA from 1 species
AAAGAGGAAAACAAAACAAAAGAGUAAAUGAGACAAAAAAGCAAGAAAAAAAAACUUAGAAACCCAAACAAAAAAAGAAUAAAUGAGACAAAAAAGUAGAAAAAAAAUCCAGCUAGAAACCCAAACUAAAAAAGAGUAAAUGAGACAAAGAAGUAGAAAAAAAUCCAGAAAACCAAAUCGGAAAAAAAACCUGCAAAAAAGAAAAACAACCCUAAAAUCUGAAAAAAAAACUAUCAGUUGAAGAAACAAAGAUAAGGUAAGAGAAAAGAGCAAGAAAUUUGAAGAAGAAGAGUGUAGAGAGAAUGAAAAGAGCAAAUGAAACAAAGCAAGUAAGAGAGAAAUUUCUUCAAGAAAGAUGGAAAAAUGGAAAAAUCAAAGUGAAAUAAAAAGAUAAAAAAAAACACCAUGAAAAUACUAAAGUAAAAUGAAUAAAGGAGAGAGAGAAAGAAUAACAGAGAACUCUAAUUAAUUAUAGGUCACAAUUACCAAAAAACCCUACACUUAUACGUUAGAAAGAUAAAAAAUAAAAACUCUCUAUUUUCUACAAAAUACUAUGUGCAUCUUAAAAUUAGCCCAUUACAAAGAUAAAAAAAAUCAUAUGUUUUCACAGAAUAUCACCUGCACCCCAAAAUUCAAGUCAAAAUCAAUCUUGUUGACUUGGUGCUCUAAUUUCACUCAAUUGUCCCCUCCUCGGGACAACAUUUAAUUAUAGUAGAUUCUUAACAUUAUUCCUAAACACAUUAUUGAUA